UACGGAGGAUCCAAGCGUUAUCCGGAUUCAUUGGGUUUAAAGGGUGCGUAGGCGGAUUUGUAAGUCAGCGGUGAAAUCCUACAGCUUAACUGUAGAACUGCCGUUGAUACUGCAAGUCUUGAGUACAUUUGAUGUGGGCGGAAUGUGUCAUGUAGCGGUGAAAUGCUUAGAUAUGACACGGAACACCGAUUGCGAAGGCAGCUCACAAAACUGUAACUGACGCUGAGGCACGACAGCGUGGGGAUCAAACAGG
rnacentral:rRNA from 1 species